UCAAUUUUAUAAUUGUAGCUUUAUUUUGUAAUUAUUAAGUUAAAAUCGCGAUGUUUUUAUAUACAUUGCGUACUAGUGCGUUUAUUAUGUCUCCUAAUUGAUAUAAAAACAUUUUUUAUGGACGGAAAUGGAAGGUUUCAACCCAAAAUGUUUACAUUUAUCUUUUAAGAUUUUCAUAACCUCAACCUAAGGAUAAAUUCUUUUUGGUUUGAAAUAACACUUAUUUUAACUUGAUUUGUAAAAACUUCCAAGAAUUCCAACUCCAGGUAAAAAGUUUUGACCCAAACCCCCCAAAAUUAUCUUAGUUAAGCGAAAACUUCCAACCAAAAUGAAACUCACUUUCUUAACCCAAAUCGUCCUCAUCAUCUUAAUCAAAUCAAUUCUUAUCGACGCCGAAUUAAUUAAAUCGUCAAAUUCGCCCAAUUCAACAUCAUUAGAAUCAUCAAAAAAAUUCCCUCUCACUUUAACCUUAAUAACAUCCGCUGUGAUCACAAUAGGACUCAUUUUGUUACUUUUCCUAUACCAACCGUAUUUCGCGUACGUUUUGUGCCAUUUAACCGGAAAUUGUGACGAUUUAUUGAGCGAAUACUUCGACCAUUACAUCCGGAAAUUCCAGGAAGGGAUCGAGUUGGAUCAGAACGAUUUAAAUUUAAAUCAUAAAAAUGAACGGAACGGAUUAUUUAAACGUGAAAUCAAAGAUGAUGUAUCGAUGGCGAUGAAAAAAUUGGGGCCGUUAAUCGAAAUGUUUGGCAUAGCUUAUGAUAAUUAUUUUGCGAUGGGAGAAAAAAAAAUUCGAAUGUUCUCGAAAUCGUCCGCAAGAUAGCGCUGGGUGUUCGAAUGCUUCCGGUCGUUUUACAUAUUGUUAAGAUAGGGACGUUUAUUUUGCAUUUAAUGAUGCAGUUGGUGGCGAUGUUGCAGUAUUUGCUCGAUUUAUUUUAUAAGUUUUAAAAUUAAAA
rnacentral:lncRNA from 1 species